rnacentral:rRNA from 1 species
ACCUUUUGUAUAAUGGGUCAGCGACUUAUAUUCUGUAGCAAGGUUAACCGAAUAGGGGAGCCGAAGGGAAACCGAGUCUUAACUGGGCGUUAAGUUGCAGGGUAUAGACCCGAAACCCGGUGAUCUAGCCAUGGGCAGGUUGAAGGUUGGGUAACACUAACUGGAGGACCGAACCGACUAAUGUUGAAAAAUUAGCGGAUGACUUGUGGCUGGGGGUGAAAGGCCAAUCAAACCGGGAGAUAGCUGGUUCUCCCCGAAAGCUAUUUAGGUAGCGCCUCGUGAAUUCAUCUCCGGGGGUAGAGCACUGUUUCGGCAAGGGGGUCAUCCCGACUUACCAACCCGAUGCAAACUGCGAAUACCGGAGAAUGUUAUCACGGGAGACACACGGCGGGUGCUAACGUCCGUCGUGAAGAGGGAAACAACCCAGACCGCCAGCUAAGGUCCCAAAGUCAUGGUUAAGUGGGAAACGAUGUGGGAAGGCCCAGACAGCCAGGAUGUUGGCUUAGAAGCAGCCAUCAUUUAAAGAAAGCGUAAUAGCUCACUGGUCGAGUCGGCCUGCGCGGAAG